rnacentral:rRNA from 1 species
AGUGAACGCUGGCGGUAGGCCUAACACAUGCAAGUCGAACGGCAGCACAGUAAGAGCUUGCUCUUACGGGUGGCGAGUGGCGGACGGGUGAGGAAUACAUCGGAAUCUACUUUUUCGUGGGGGAUAACGUAGGGAAACUUACGCUAAUACCGCAUACGACCUAUGGGUGAAAGCAGGGGAUCUUCGGACCUUGCGCGAUUGAAUGAGCCGAUGUCGGAUUAGCUAGUUGGCGGGGUAAAGGCCCACCAAGGCGACGAUCCGUAGCUGGUCUGAGAGGAUGAUCAGCCACACUGGAACUGAGACACGGUCCAGACUCCUACGGGAGGCAGCAGUGGGGAAUAUUGGACAAUGGGCGCAAGCCUGAUCCAGCUAUACCGCGUGGGUGAAGAAGGCCUUCGGGUUGUAAAGCCCUUUUGUUGGGAAAGAAAAGCAGCAGGUUAAUACCCCGCUGUUCUGACGGUACCCAAAGAAUAAGCACCGGCUAACUUCGUG